rnacentral:lncRNA from 13 species
CCCGCAGCCAUAGUUGCUGCCGCUUUUCGGGCGUUGCCCAGCACCAGCUCACAGCAGCCCACCCACAGCUGUGGUUCCCGAUGCGGGACACAUGCUGUCGCUGCUGCUUGCAAGUCGCGCCUGGCCCGCCACGGGAACCGCACAGACUUGCUGCAGCCUGCAGCACACACGCUCCACUUGCCGAGCAGAUGCUGACGGGGCGUCCCAGGAUUCUAGCGCUCUUUGCAUAGGGAGGGAAGACACCAGAGGGACUCAUAGUAUGGCCCUACUUUGAGUUUGGGAUUUUAUGAUUAAAACAAAGGGCCUUGGACAUUACUGGUGCAUGCUUAUUGCACUUGGGAGCCUCUUUAGCCAUGUGGAGAUUGGGGCACCUCAUAUGCAGAAGAACAGUCAUGGUAAUAACACCCCCAAAUGUUGUUCUCAUUCUGUUAGUUAUUGAAACACCUUUUAUCUGGAAUGC